GACAUGCAGAGAACUUCCAGAGAUGGAUUGGUGCCUUCGGGAACUCUGACACAGGUGCUGCAUGGCUGUCGUCAGCUCGUGUCGUGAGAUGUUGGGUUAAGUCCCGUAACGAGCGCAACCCUUGUCCUUAGUUACCAGCACGUUAUGGUGGGCACUCUAAGGAGACUGCCGGUGACAAACCGGAGGAAGGUGGGGAUGACGUCAAGUCAUCAUGGCCCUCACGGCCUGGGCUACACACGUGCUACAAUGGUCGGUACAAAGGGUUGCCAAGCCGCGAGGUGGAGCUAAUCCCAUAAAACCGAUCGUAGUCCGGAUCGCAGUCUGCAACUCGACUGCGUGAAGUCGGAAUCGCUAGUAAUCGUGAAUCAGAAUGUCACGGUGAAUACGUUCCCGGGUCUU
rnacentral:rRNA from 1 species